rnacentral:rRNA from 1 species
GUGAGGAAUUUUGCGCAAUGGGGGCAACCCUGACGCAGCGACGCCGCGUGGAGGACGAAGUCUUUCGGGAUGUAAACUCCUGUCAGUGGGGACGAUAAUGACGGUACCCACAGAGGAAGCACCGGCUAACUCCGUGCCAGCAGCCGCGGUAAGACGGAGGGUGCAAGCGUUGUUCGGAAUUACUGGGCGUAAAGCGUACGUAGGCGGCAAGUUAAGUUCAAUGUUAAAGCCCACGGCUCAACCGAGGAGAUGCAUUGAAUACUGGCUAGCUAGAGGGUGUUAGAGGAAGACGGAAUUCCCAGUGUAGCGGUGAAAUGCGUAGAUAUUGGGAGGAACAUCGGUAGCGAAAGCGGUCUUCUGGGACACACCUGACGCUGAGGUACGAAAGCGUGGGGAGCAAACGGGAUUAGAUACCCGAGUAGUCC